rnacentral:lncRNA from 1 species
UCUGUUUUCAUAUGGUUUCCGUAUUGGCAAAAAAAAAAAAAAAAAAAACAAAGCGAAAAGUUACCUUGCUAAUUCCCUUGCUAGCAAGGUAAUAUAAUUUAGCACAUGUUCAUGAGAAAAUUGUCUAAGAAAAUUUGUUCCCUGCUAGUUAUUUUCAAGGCUGUGAUAGUAACAUUCUGCUCUUUAAAAGUUACACAUUAGGUGAUAUGAUUACAUUACAGGAUUUUUUUUUGUAGGGCUGACUAUUCAGCAUUGUUAGAUAAGAAAAAAUUUUGAGUGAAAGAUAAAUGUGAGAAAAGAUGCUUCUAAUUGAACAAAUGCUUUUUUUUUUUUUUUUUUUUUUUUAAGGGCUUGGAUGUACUUCUGAAAGAGGUACAAGCUUUAGAGGGGAAAUUAUUUCAUUAAAACCGUGAUUUUACAUUAAAAGAAACACGUAUUCUCUGACACUUUAUUUCAAAUUCCUUAGCCCUUGGAAAGAGCCCACAUUUGAAGGCGGGUCCAAGGCGUGCCAGAACAGUCUCCUCCCUCCACCCCCUUCCUCCUUUCCCAAGCGCAGAGGUCCCCUCCUCUGCAGACAACAGCUGCUAGAUCCGAACGGGAGGAGUGCUUUUUGCAUUCCUGGCUGCCUGCUUGGGCUGCUGAAGGGGCUGCUGCCUUCUACCAGGAGAAGAAAAGGAUCUCAAAUCUUCCGGAUCACUUCCUCUCGUAGGAAACUAUUGAGCACAGGAAUAAAGAUGGCUGCUGAACCAGAAGACAAUUGCAUCAGCUUUGUGGAAAUGAAGUUUAUUAACAAUACACUUUACUUUGUAGGUAAGUCCAAAACAUUAGACCAAAUACAGGGUUUAGAUCCAUGUUUUCAACUAGAAAAGAUGUUAUAAGGCAAACUAUUAAGUGAUUCUUUUCUGUCACCAAAUACCAUUGAAAUACUGACACAUUUCUCUGGAAAUAUAUGUAUAUAUUUAGUCUCUAGAGCUUAGCCAUAAUAUGUCCAAGGACCCAGGACCCUAUCCUACCACAUGUCCUGGUACUUUAGGUAGUAGUAACCCACUCACAAGGUGGCUCCUGGUGCAUGUCAUGAAAAUCCCAUGAAACUAGAUACAUUCGAGUAAUGCAAUUUCCCAAAGCAAACUGCAAAUUACAUAAGAGAUGUGAAUCUAGAGAGAUUUUAUUUUGUUUUUAUCUUUUUAGGGCCACUCCCGAGGCAUAUGGAGGUGCCCAGGCUAGGGGUCGAAUAGGAGCUAUAGCCGCCAGCCUACACCACAGCCACAGCAACACUGGACCCGAGCCUCGUCUGUGACCCACACCACAACUCACAGCAACGCCAGAUCCUCAACCCACUGAGUGAGGCCAGGGAUUGAACCUGUGUCCUCAUGGAUGCCAGUCAGGUUCAUUAACCGCUGAGCCAUGACAGGAACUCCAAGAGAGAUUUUUAAAAAGAGAUUUUAAAUCCAGAGUUCUGUGAGUUAUACCAUUUUAUAUAAAUAUAUUUGACAAAUAAAACAUACUCUUGAAAAUCAGCAAUGUCUUUUAAUCAUUAGGUAAAAACUGACACGCUGAAGAGGGUGAAGUGAAAAGAUAGAAAAAAACAACAAAUAAAACCACGUGUGAGUGAUUCACUGAAUUAACUAGACCUGGAGCUGCCCCAAUUUGUUACAUUUUUCUUAUGAUUUUAUAAAAUUUUGUGUUAUUUUCCCUAUUGUAGACAAAAGCCAUCCCCAGAUAUUUUCAAAGUUGUGUUUUCUCUAGUGGUAUUACCUACUAAGGAACAUGCUAUAUGGGGCAGAGUGAGUGUGAAAAGAAGUUAUGAUGACCUGAAUUUUAUUUUAGCUGUAGACUAUCAGUCCUUUUAUCAAAUUUUUAUCAAAUUUUAUCAAAUUUUUUCAAAACCAGUUUCCUCUUUGACAUUAUGAUUAAUGUAAAUUUUAAUAUAUUCACUUAAGGAACCUUAAAAUUACAUUUUAAAAAAUUUGCUAUGUUACAUAAGACUGUAAAAUAGAUUUAUUUUAUUCUUAUACUCAAAAAAUAUAGUUUGUUUACUUUUUUAGUAUUCUUUGUAAUAUAUUUAUGUAUGUCAUUACUCAUAAUGUUCUGACAUGUAAUGUUAUUAUGUUUCUGUUUUAACCAAAGAUCUUCUGAUCUAUGAAAGUUUUAAUUUAUUAAAACAAUAAAUGUGCUUUAAAUAAAUGUAACUUUAACCCCCUACCCCCCCAAAAAAAAAACAGAUUCUUGUGGUUAAUCUUUCCUUGGGCAGUUUU